UCAUGUGUGACCUGUGGAAAAGGUUUUAGUCAAAAACCGAAUUUAACUCGGCACAUGAUGAUUCACACAGGUGAAAAACUGUAGAACUAUUUUCCAUGUAUGUCCUGUGUUGAGGUUCACUAUAAAAGUAAUUUAGAUGAAAACUGCAGUUAUACACUGGAGGAUUUUCUUGUUUAUAAAGUGGGAAAAUUAUUUAAUUUUCUAAUUUGUGAAAUGUGAUCAUUUGGUUCUUGACAUUUGGAUACUUUAAGAUGUACAAUGUGAACUUGAAGGAUUGAUUUGUAUUAUUCUGAAUGGAGAGAAUGAGUCGGGUGAAUGAGAUUUACUUUAAUACAUUUUUAAUCCAAAAUAAAAUGUGCCGUUUUGCGCUAA